UAAUAACUCAACAAGUAGAGUUAUAUGAACGUUUCGAGAAACGCUCCACGAGUGCAUUCCACAGUACUUUGUGGUCAUUACUUUUACACAAAUUGCCAUUGAAGGCUUUUGUCGAUGUGGCGCGUCAAAGACUUUGAGCGCAUGAGAUGUGAAAUCUCGGCAUCUAGGCUUGUUAGCCUGGGGAUCAAAACAUGUGGUUUAAUCCUUUCCGAUGAAAGGUUCCACAGAUACCAAGCGAAGAUCCGCCUUAGGCAUCUAGUACGUCAAAACUCAAAUGAGCAGAAUGUUACAUUGCUCUUGCAUACAAAACCAAGCUGUUAUGAGACUCGAUAGAGGUCACAAACGAUGCUUUUAAUGGUUUGUCCUUCGGAUUGAUCAUACACAAUCCGGAAAAGCCGCGAAUUGAUCAAACACAAUUCGAAAAAAGGCCUCGGAUUAAUCAAACACAAUCCGGUGAAAGGUCGGGGUUGAUCAAACACAACCCGGACAAAGAAACAAGAGUGAUCAAACACACUCUUGACCCGCAAAUAAAAUUCCGGGAUUUGGGUACCUGCACGCACAAAAUCCCAAGCAUAUAAUGGAGAUGGAGAAGGGAGGAAAGGAUUUUAUUCUCCCCGAGUUAUUGAACUUGGAAAAGUUUAAGGUUUCAAAAAACAUACCUUUCUAGAGGCUGCCGAGAGGAGAAAUAACGUUUCGCCUACUUAUACUUCGAAUUUGAGGCUGAAAAUUUGAUAGGAGGAGCAGCUCUGGAUGGGGAAGCUUUUGUCAAAAUUUCAGGUUGAUCGGAGCAAAGGAAGGUGGUGAACCGGUGGUCGGUAGCGGCGGCGGUCUGGGAUCUUCCGGCGGCCGGUUCGGAGACUUUCCGGCCGGUUCUCAAGGUCAGACCAGCGGCGUUGGAUCCGAGACGGAGAGAGCUUUCUGGGGAUAUAAAAUUCCGGUGGAGGGCAAUCGGAAUUUUGGUCGGAAAUCGGGAAAAACAAGGCUGCCCGAUUUUAGGGUUUUGGUUUUAGGGUUUAGAAAAAAUGGUGGGCUAUUGGCUCUAGGGUUAAAACAAAGUGCAUGAUAACGUGAUAAAGGAUAAAGUGUAGAGACAAAGAGAUAGCAAGAGAGUCAUCAUCUUAUUCAUUGAUAGGAGCCCCUUUAUAUAGGGAAUUACACAAUACCAAUAUGGUAAGGAUAUGAAUACAUAGAUCUAAUCUAA
rnacentral:lncRNA from 1 species